rnacentral:tRNA from 1 species
GAGAUAUUAGUAAAAUAGUUUAUUACACCGCUUUGUCAAGGCCGAAUUGUGGGUUAAACCCCCACAUAUCUUA